rnacentral:lncRNA from 1 species
GGCAGUGCAGCGGUGGAACAGCUGUGCCUAUUGCGCCAAGCUGCGCCGAGAGUGGAGCUUUGCGCCAUCCUGCGCCAAAACGGCAUUUUAGCGGAAAAUUGCGCCGAGCUUGCGCCAAAGCAUGCAUAAGAACGAAACCCUCCUUUUGUCGAUGUUUCGCAGCUAGCAAAACUGAAAUCAAUAUCAACAGCACGUUAUGAUCAUCAUAGAAGGAAGUGGAGGCCCGUCGAAGUCGUCUGCUUCGUCAGUCGCGCAUUUUUCUCUGACAUACAGACAGUGUAGUGCGGGCUGUACCGUCUUGCUGGUGCUUUGGUGAGGAUGUCACAUUCUAGGAUUAAAAAUGAGCCUUUUUGAUGUUUAUGGGUGAUAGCAGGGCUUUGCAAAAGAGCCGUUGUGUGUGGUGCAGAUUCGCACGUGUUCCAUAAUUUAGAAUGGUAUUAGCGAGUACAUGUCGGUUUCCGCAUGUCUUAGUUAGGGCAUAGAUUAAGAUUUAUAAUAGUACCACCAGUUCUACUGCUCGCAUGGAUAUGGGCCAGGUUGUUAAUUUUGACAUUGUAACCAUUCAGCGUGAACCCAUGGGGGCUGUUGAAAAAGAAAACAAGAACUGUGCGAGUAUUCGACGCUGGCCUAAUUGCGUUCCACAGUUACGUUUUGUAUGUAUUCUUGAGCUUAUUUCCCAUGACCAUAUAUUGCGACCGAUUUUCGCAGCGCUGAAACACUUGCGAAUUAGCUAUCUGUGCGCACCGAAGUUCAUACAUGACCCAUCGGGGUAGCCUACAAUGGCUGUGGCAUUGCACUGCUGAGCUCGAGAUUGCGGGUUCGCUUGCAGCUGCGGCGGCCGCAUAUUAAUGAGGGAGAGAUGCAAGAACGCUCUUAAUGC